rnacentral:rRNA from 1 species
CACAUGCAAGUCAGGGGCAGCAUAACGAAAGCUUGCUUUGUUGAUGGCGACCGGCGCACGGGUGAGUAACGCGUAUCCAACCUUCCCUGUAGUAGAGGAUAGCCCGGCGAAAGUCGGAUUAAUACUCUAUGUUGUAUUUAGAGGACAUCUGAAGAAUACCAAAGGUUUACCGCUAUAGGAUGGGGAUGCGUCUGAUUAGGUUGUUGGCGGGGUAACGGCCCACCAAGCCCACGAUCAUAGGGGUUCUGAGAGGAAGGUCCCCCACAUUGGAACUGAGACACGGUCCAAACUCCUACGGGAGGCAGCAGUGAGGAAUAUUGGUCAAUGGACGGAAGUCUGAACCAGCCAAGUAGCGUGCAGGAUGACGGCCCUAUGGGUUGUAAACUGCUUUUAUAUGGGGAUAAAGUGAGGGACGUGUCCCUUUUUGUAGGUACCAUAUGAAUAAGGACCGGCUAAUUCCGUGCCAGCAGCCGC